rnacentral:misc_RNA from 1 species
AAGUCGUAACAAGGUUUCCGUAGGUGAACCUGCGGAAGGAUCAUUAACACGUAUCCAAACGUUUGAACAUUGAUUCCUGCCCUUGUAACCCGCGAAGCUUGCAAUCUCUGGUAAAUCAUAGCCCGGAAAGUAGUUUUGAUUCAGAGACCUCUUGCCCGUGCGAAAAUUGGAACAGUUACAAUUCGAGCGGUAGUUCUAUAGGCCUUGUUUCCCCAAGCAGUCAGUGUCUGAAAGUGUCAGUGAUUGUGCAAGGAUAACGCUUCACGAUUCUUGUAGACCGCAUCUCGCGGGCAGGAGCUAGGCCAAAGGGUCCCCAUGCCCCCUUACAACCCCACAGUUAAAUGUGAAGCUCAAUGUAAUACAUUGGGUAAAAAACCGAACAACUGUUAACAAUGGAUAUCUUGGUUCUC